CGGAGGCUCCCUCACGGCACCGCCGGGCCGAGGCCUCCGGGAACGGGCUGGGCCGAGGCAACCGGGCCCCCAGGCCGCCGGGAUGAGGAGAUGCAGUUUCCACAUCAAUGCAAUGGAUGCUGCUGAGGAAGAACCACCUCAGUCUGAUCUUUGUAAAGUGCUGGUGUUCAGCCUCCAUGGACAGUUCUGGCAGUGCACUUGAAUAAGGCUGCAAAGGAUCUCUUUGUUGUCUUGAGCUCUCAGGGUGGCUGCCUAACACCUGCAACACUCCCACAUCCCUGUGUAAAUUGCCUGCAUCCCUCACUGACAA